GAUGAACGCUGGCGGCGUGCCUAAUACAUGCAAGUCGAGCGAACAGACGAGGAGCUUGCUCCUCUGACGUUAGCGGCGGACGGGUGAGUAACACGUGGAUAACCUACCUAUAAGACUGGGAUAACUUCGGGAAGCCGGAGCUAAUACCGGAUAAUAUAUUGAACCGCAUGGUUCAAUAGUGAAAGACGGUUUUGCUGUCACUUAUAGAUGGAUCCGCGCCGCAUUAGCUAGUUGGUAAGGUAACGGCUUACCAAGGCAACGAUGCGUAGCCGACCUGAGAGGGUGAUCGGCCACACUGGAACUGAGACACGGUCCAGACUCCUACGGGAGGCAGCAGUAGGGAAUCUUCCGCAAUGGGCGAAAGCCUGACGGAGCAACGCCGCGUGAGUGAUGAAGGUCUUCGGAUCGUAAAACUCUGUUAUUAGGGAAGAACAAAUGUGUAAGUAACUAUGCACGUCUUGACGGUACCUAAUCAGAAAGCCACGGCUAACCACGUG
rnacentral:rRNA from 1 species